GAUGAACGCUGGCGGCGUGCUUAACACAUGCAAGUCGAACGAUGAAGCCCAGCUUGCUGGGUGGAUUAGUGGCGAACGGGUGAGUAACACGUGAGUAACCUGCCCUUAACUCUGGGAUAAGCCUGGGAAACUGGGUCUAAUACCGGAUAGGAGCGCCUACCGCACGGUGGGUGUUGGAAAGAUUUAUCGGUUUUGGAUGGACUCGCGGCCUAUCAGCUUGUUGGUGAGGUAAUGGCUCACCAAGGCGACGACGGGUAGCCGGCCUGAGAGGGUGACCGGCCACACUGGGACUGAGACACGGCCCAGACUCCUACGGGAGGCAGCAGUGGGGAAUAUUGCACAAUGGGCGAAAGCCUGAUGCAGCGACGCCGCGUGAGGGAUGACGGCCUUCGGGUUGUAAACCUCUUUCAGUAGGGAAGAAGCGAAAGUGACGGUACCUGCAGAAGAAGCACCGGCUAACUACGUG
rnacentral:rRNA from 1 species